UGUGACCUACGGGAGGCAGCAGUAGGGAAUCUUCCACAAUGGACGAAAGUCUGAUGGAGCAACGCCGCGUGAGUGAAGAAGGGCUUCGGCUCGUAAAGCUCUGUUGGGAGUGAAGAAAGAUAGAGGUAGUAACUGGCCUUUAUUUGACGGUAAUUACUUAGAAAGUCACGGCUAACUACGUGCCAGCAGCCGCGGUAAUACGUAGGCGGCAAGCGUUGUCCGGAUUUAUUGGGCGUAAAGCGAGUGCAGGCGGUUUCAUAAGUCUGAU
rnacentral:rRNA from 1 species